GACGAACGCUGGCGGCGGGCUUAACACAUGCAAGUCGAACGGAAAGGCCCUGCUGUUGUGGGGUGCUCGAGUGGCGAACGGGUGAGUAACACGUGAGUAACCUGCCCUUGACUGUGGGAUAACUUCAGGAAACUGGGGCUAAUACCGGAGAGGAGCUCCUGCUGCAUGGUGGGGGUUGGAAAGUGUCGGCGGUUGGGGAUGGACUCGCGGCUUAUCAGCUUGUUGGUGGGGUAGUGGCUUACCAAGGCUUUGACGGGUAGCCGGCCUGAGAGGGUGACCGGCCACAUUGGGACUGAGAUACGGACCAGACUCCUACGGGAGGCAGCAGUGGGGAAUAUUGCACAAUGGGCGGAAGCCUGAUGCAGCAACGCCGCGUGCGGGAUGACGGCCUUCGGGUUGUAAACCGCUUUCGCCUGUGACGAAGCGUGAGUGACGGUAAUGGGUAAAGAAGCACCGGCUAACUACGUG
rnacentral:rRNA from 1 species